rnacentral:rRNA from 1 species
CACGUAGGGGGCAAGCGUUGUCCGGAUUUAUUGGGCGUAAAGAGCUCGUAGGUGGUUCGGUAAGUCAGGUGUGAAACCUCCAGGCUCAACCUGGAGACGCCACUUGAUACUGCUGUGACUGGAGUCCGGUAGGGGAGCGUGGAAUUCCUGGUGUAGCGGUGAAAUGCGCAGAUAUCAGGAGGAACACCAGCGGCGAAGGCGGCGCUCUGGGGCCGGUACUGACACUGAGGAGCGAAAGCGUGGGUAGCAAACAGG